CGGUCCGAAUCGACCCAAGUUCGACCCGGUCGGGUCGGUUCCGGUUCGACCCGACCCGGUCUUGCCGCGAGUCGGGUCCGGUCGGAGACCGGACCCGGGUUGGGCCCAGACCAGAAUUGGUCGGGCCCUCGCCUGAUUUGGGGUUGGGGCCGACCGACAGGCCCAACCCUCCUCGCCGAAGCUCGCGGGCCCUAGCAGGACUGGGCCUGAACUGUGGGCCCAAUCCAGUCCACAAAAAAGAAACCUAAAUAAACUAAAGCCUGACCCAACACCCAAUAAAAAAAUCUAAUACUAACCCGGCCCAAUGACCUUGCUCCAGCCCAGAGAGAAAUCAGCCUACGCACGCAGGCCCGGCCCGGAUGGAUCAAAACCCUACCCGGUUUGCGACCCGCGC
rnacentral:lncRNA from 1 species